UCUCUAAACACCUUUCAAGAAGAAGCAGUAGAGGGUUUUAUUUUUGAGGCACCACCUUUCCUCUCUUUUUCUUCUAUCGAUACCAUUGUUUCCUCUUUCUUUCAUUCUCCGGCGUUCAACAAUCAUCUGCGUUCCCCUCUUCAUCUCUUAGUAUUUUCAAUUAGGCCUAGGUUCUUCAGCCCUCCCUUCAUCACUGGGUUCAUCGGGAUAUUGGGUUGUACCUUUAUGCUUUGAGGUUGUAGUAUAACGUCUGGUUCCAAUGUCAGUUCACAGUCAUCAUCGAUCAAGUAAAGGAGUGCAUAUUUUUCUCCUCUAAUUUCUAGGUAGCGUGUAUCUUUUCAACAACGAUUUCUGUUUUUUUUUUCUUUCUAAGAAUUGCGUCAUCGUCACUAAAAGGAUCAAACACUAUACCCAAGGAUCUACUUGAACUAUAACAAAGGUAAAUUAAUGACAUGAUUUUACUUAAUUAUACCGAGUGAAAGUUGCACAUAGUUCUGAGAGUUCAACUUUUAUCAUUUUAAAAUUAUUUAUUUAUUCAUUUGCCCUUGCAGCUUCUCAACUUGAUUUUGUACUACAGUACUAACAUAGUUCCAAAUUUUCAAUAACAAACUUGUACAUCUACUGAGUAGAUGUGUAUCCUUUUCAGACACCAUGAAUCCUUUGAUCAUCCUGUUAGUUACAUGUAAAGUUUUUCAAGUGCAUUGUUGCUCAUUUAAAUAACCUGGAUUUGAUUAUAAUGAAUGCAUGUGCAGGCUUUUUGGCUCAUUUAAAUUACAUAUUGUAAGUUCCUCGAGUUGAUAUUUUUAAAUGGUUUAAGUUGUGAUCAGUUGCUAAUCACUUUGACAUUUAGGUAGUUGGUGAGCUUUUUGUCAGAGAUUCGUUCUUCUGAUACUGGUAUGAUGGAUAAUCAUUUUCUUAUCAAUUGCACUGAUAAGAUUGUUUGAUGCUAGAACCUUCAACAACUCAUAUUGACUGGGUUAAAGGAAAUGAUGGGAUUAUAUAUGGGCAUUUUAUUUAGCAAAUUGGGACAUUAGGGAAGGAAAUGUCACAAGGUGUGGUCUUUGGUGGGUUGAAAUGUUAAAAUCAAGUGGUCAAUAUAAAGAGGAUGCUUGUGUUUACUUUCUUAUAUCUGAUGAGAAGGAUAAUGUGACAAUUCAUUCAACUCAAUAUGCCACAGAGAGAUUUGAAGUUGAUCAAUGGUCAAGCUUUUUGGAUUAUCAAGGCUGAGUCAUGGAUCCAGAUGCUUUAAAACAGAGAAUAUUCUAUAGGGGAGUGGACACACUUGCAAAAAGAGGUUUAUGCAUUCUUAUUCAUAAGAUUCAACAAUAUGUUAAAACAUCAGAGUACAUGACUAUCAAAAACCAAUAGCAGGUAAGAAACCAAACUGUACUUUGAUGAUUACUUAAUAUUAAUAUACAUGCAAAAUGUCUAAUACAGUAACAAUUUCCAUAUUGUAUUUUGUAUUUCUUUUGCUUAUUGAGACAGCGAACUUUCCAAAAGUUUUACCUUUGAACUUUUUCUUAUUAAGACUUUUUACUUUGAAAAUCUAAUAUUAUUAGACAUUGUACUUUUUAUUUCCAGCAUAGAAAAUGUACUUUGGAAAUCUAGACAACUAUAACAUAGUAAGAUAUUUUCUUCUACGUACUUUUUUUUUUUCCUAUUAAGACAUUGUUUAUUGAAAAUAUAAACAUGUUUUAUAUUGGUUAGCUGUAGCAUUACACUUUAAAUUUUCUUUUUAAUAAUGCCCAUAUUUAUUAUAGUGUUAUAUAUAUCUUAUCUUACUUUGGCACACAUAUGAAAGAUCCAACCAGAUGAUAUUAUGGUUAGGGAUGAGCAAAAGGACCGAACCGGACCGGAACCGAGAACCGGCUUCGGCCAAAAUCAAGAACCGUACUGGCCCGGCGGUUCUACCGGUUCCCGGUUCCUACCGGUUCUUGUCGUGUCUUCAAAUGUUGGAACCGGUCCACGAAAAAUAGCAUCAUAUGGUUCCGGUUUUUGCCGGUUCUACCGGUUCCUAACGGUUCCCGGCUCCAAAAAUCCACAAAAAUAACGUCCCGGUCCCGGCCCAACGGGUUCCAUCGGGUUCCGGUUCCGGUGCCGGUUCCGGUUUCGGUACCGGUUCCGACCGGUUCCCCGGUCCAUAUGCUCAUCCCUAAUUAUGGUGGCUUAGUUGGAUUUUAUUGUACUUAAUCACAUUUUGACAAAAUUGUUGUUUGUUUUAGACUUAAUGGGGACAAAACUUUACAUUGUAUUUUCAUAAUUAGGUGUGUGGCUAUUGCAUUGAAUCUCAAAUAAGGGUGCUGGGUGAUUACUGCUUUCUACCCAUUUAUUUAUAGCAUCAAACUUUCAUUUUUUUUUUUGCUUAUUAGGACAUUUUACUCUAAAAAGAUUUACCUAGUUAAGCAGUGAAAUGGAUUUGUAUUUGGGGAUGCCUGGCAUGUAGGGAUGUCAACGGGGGCAAACGGGACGGGGAGUGCAUUCCCCGCCCCCGCCCCCGAAAUUUCCUGGUUCCCUCGUCCCCGCCCCCACCCCCGAAAUGUUCAACCUUCCUACCCCCGCCCCGCCCUGCCCCCGAAUCCUCUUUAUUAUCCCCGCCCCCAAUUGAUUUUGAGCUGCCUUUUUUUUUGCUAAAAAAAGUUGUUAUCUAGGGUAAAAGAAGCUAUUUUUUAGGUAACAAAUAAUUAUUUAUAGCCGAAUCUUACACGUUAAAAAUAAAAAAAGUUAUGGCAUCUUAAAAACAUUAUACUAACAACUUAAAAAACAUAUUUUUUGAUGAAUUUUGGAAGAUCAAAAUCAUGUUAUUGUUUAUUAUGUUUACAUAAUUAAUAUAUGUAAAUAUAUGUUUAAUUUAUUAACGGGGUCCCCAUGGAGGUUUCGGGACGGGAUUGCCUACCCCUGCCCCCGCCCCCGAAAUUAAAACGGGGGUUAACCUUGCCCCCGCUCCCGUCCCCGCCUCUGAUUUUUUUUAAAAAAUUCCCCCAAACGGGACGAGGCCCCCACGGGAACAGGGUCCCACGGGACUUUUUGACAUUCCUACUGGCAUGCUCUUUUAGAAGCUGUAUACACAUUACCGUUACGUUUCUCCAUGUUUUGUAAAUUUUGGGUUUUAAUUUUCCCUGAUAUAUUACAUCUGAUGGGUUUGAUAUUUAGCAUAUCCAACUGAUUUUGGAAAAAAGCUUAUAUCAUAUCAGAUUGUGUAUUGUUCCUGAUAUAAGGCGAAUAGGCUUUUUUUUUUUUCUUUUUUCUUUUUUAUUAAGUGCUUCACUGAUAAAGUGCUACCUGGAUAAUGACGUCUUAUAUUUUCUGGAUUUGUGUCUAUAUCUAUGAUUGACUUGAUAAAAAUUGCUUUCUUUUAGCAAAGAAUUCAAUCUAUUUUAUAUGUUAAAAAGUUCACUUAAUUAAAAAGUUCUUAAUGUCAAAUUCAUAAUUAAGUGAUGCUUUCUUGUCUAUAUCAGUGGUCUUUCUCUUGCUCUUAUUGGAGGUUCCCUGAAACCACCCUUCCCCCUAUGUACAUAUGUAGUUGUUAAAAUUUGCAUGCUGUUCUUUUUACUCACUGAAAUUUAUGGAAUAUGGAUACAAAAAUGGAGAUUAUAAGUACUAACAGAUAGUAGUCCGUUUCUUGAUCAUCAGUUCAACAGCAUGUUCUUAUUGUCAGGUUGGUGAUUUAGGUCCAAAAGGGAGUCUUUUUUUGCAAUUUUGGUCCUUAUUUCAAGGUUUCAUAACGCUUUUGGUACUAGGGUUGUCACCUAGAUGUUAAAUUUAUGAAAAAUGACCAUUUUGUCCCUUUCAUCAUCAUCUCUUUUAUUUCCAUUUUAAAGGAGCAGGAUGAAAUUUCAACAAAAUUCUCUCUUUCCUUAUAAACAAUUAUCAUAUACUACAUUGAAGGAGCAAAACUAAAAUAUGGUACUUAUUUCUUGGUGUGAUAAUGUGUUUGCUCUCUAGGUCUCGACUUCAAACAGCCUAUAUUCUAAAUUUAUGAAAAGGACCAUUUUGCCAAUGUCAUUUUCAUCUCUUCCAUUUCCAUGUUGAAGGAUCAUAUUUUACCCUCAACAAAAUUCACCACUUCUCUUAAAAAAUUAUUUGGCUUACGUUUAAGGAGCAUAACAACUUUAACAACACAGAUGUUAAAUAUUUGUAUAUGACCAGUUUUGCCCCCGUCUUCUUCUUCUUCUUUUUCAUUUCUAUGUUCAAGCAAAUUAAAUAAAACCUCAAAAAAAUUCAUCUCUUCAUUUCCACAUUUAGAAGUUAUUGUUUUUACUGGGAAACAACCUUACAAGUGACAACCUUGUUUUGGGUCAUUUUCAAAGUCAAAGCCAAAGUCAAAAUGAAAGGAGACAUAAUUGGGCUUCCAAUGAUCACCAGCCUCUCCAAAUGGCUACCAAAAAUAAUUAGGCUUUGCUCUCAUAUAAUUUUUACACACUAUCACGACAAACUUAUUAUUUUUCAUAUUUUUUUGGCAGUUUGAUAAAUUGUUAUUGGUGUGGGGAAAGCCAUAAUAUCAAGAUACUUACAUUUCUUUUA